AUUGAACGCUGGCGGCAUGCCUUACACAUGCAAGUCGAACGGCAGCACGGGAGCAAUCCUGGUGGCGAGUGGCGAACGGGUGAGUAAUAUAUCGGAACGUGCCCGGUCGCGGGGGAUAACGUAGCGAAAGCUACGCUAAUACCGCAUACGAUCUACGGAUGAAAGCGGGGGAUCGCAAGACCUCGCGCGAUUGGAGCGGCCGAUAUCAGAUUAGGUAGUUGGUGAGGUAAAGGCUCACCAAGCCGACGAUCUGUAGCUGGUCUGAGAGGACGACCAGCCACACUGGGACUGAGACACGGCCCAGACUCCUACGGGAGGCAGCAGUGGGAAUUUUGGACAAUGGGCGCAAGCCUGAUCCAGCAAUGCCGCGUGCAGGAUGAAGGCCUUCGG
rnacentral:rRNA from 1 species